CCUCCUGAUCUCUCCGCUUGGGAAACAGGCUGCAUGAGUUGUUUAUGCUUUCCGGGGAAUGCAUCUGGCCCUCUUGGUGGUAAAUUUUGUCUGCGUUAGCUGAAAGUUCUGGUCCAUUGUCAAGGGACUGUAGGUCAGAGCCAAGGCCCAGGCAAAGCCUCCAAGAAGCUGGGUGAGCAGAGAUGAGUCACGCUGGAGAAGGGAUCCAGCCUGAAUCCAGCUCGCUCCCAAUUGCAAGCAGGAAGUGGUAUAGAGAGAGGAAGAGGAGAUCCCCCAGGGUCCAGGGCUGAGCGUGAGGCCCUACCAGCACCUUCUCAGUCAGCCAAUUCCCCCAAGACCUUUCAAUUCAGAAUCAAUGACUUCGGUGGCCUGUCACCAAGGAGCUACAUGUCAUUCUCCGGGCAGAGGGGAGGGCAGAAGCUGGCCCAGGAAGGGAGCCACAGACGUGCUCUCUCAGGGCUCUGCAGCAGGGGCCCCAGUCAGGUGGAACCGUCCCUGUCCUAAAGUCCUGCUUCUCAGGGGCUCAUCCUCCCUGAAGAUGGAAGGACCAGGGCCACAGCCAGCAGGAGCAAAAAGGAAUCCGUGAGACUUAGGGGCUGCAAAGGAAGGGGGGCCUUGGCCUGGUUUCUGGGAGGUCACUGAGUUUGUCCACAGCCUCCAGGGACCAUGAGAAGGGCAGGUGGAGGUGGAGGUGAGAGGCCCAGAGCCACAGGCCCAGAGAAAGCUCAGAGCUUUCCACCAGGGCCAUGGGCCUCUUCUUCCAGCCCGGCAUCCCUUCAUUCUGCCCAUGGGAUUUCCCUCGGUGGCCCUCCUUCCUCCAGAGCCUGGUCCAGGCAGGACACCGGGAACGCUGUGCUGCACACCUGCUCUGAGCGCCCAGCCAGCUGCCCCUGCCCCUCUGGGCUUCCCCAGAGCACCCACUUCAGGGUCCUUGCUCUUCCAUCAGCCUCUCUCCGAGAUGCUCAUAUGCCAAAAACAUUUCUGUUCUUCUCACCCUGUGCGACGUAUUCCCUACCAGCAGGGGAAUUCUGGAGAGAUGGGAAUUCUUAGAACAGGUACCUUGGAACCUUUUGGUUGUCUGACUUUCCAUAUCCAAGAACUUUAGCCCAUCCACACUUGGGAUGGUCUCUGGGCCACCAGCAGUCUGGGAACCCCAAGGGCAAGGAUUCUAAGAGUUUCCACCACAGAACUCCACAACUCCAGGAGGAAGUGGAGGAGAGAAGUCUGCAGGAUGUUUUUUAUUCUGUUGAGGGCAAGAGUGUUGAGCAGGUACUUUAGAGAAGAUGCCCAACUGCUCUAACUCCCUGAUUUACGAAGAAGAGGGCAAGCAUCUGGCUCAGAGGCAGAAGUCACGUACUGGCUGACAUUCUCCCGUUCCCUGCCUUAGGUGAUUUGGGAAGGCUGUUCGGAGGAGAUGAGUGGGAAAGGGGUGGCCUCAGCUGAUAAAGACUGAACUUUGGUGCGCUUUCGCCAAGGCUGCCAAAUACAGUUGUACAGGGUGUAUACUGCACAAAGGUGUGCGGGUGGGGCUGAACUCACCAUGAUUUGACUGACUCUGGCUCUGCCAAUCACGGGGUGUCUCCUCUACCUCUCACAAAGGAACCGUAUGGGCAAGGAGAUGCCCUGCAUCUCCCUGAAAGAAACCAAGGUGAUGAGGCUUCCUUGGGUCACUUGGAUUCACAGAAUGGCCUCCACACCAACAAAGUCCUUGUUUCCUGAGGCUGCCAGGAGCAGAAGCAUGGCCAAGGUCUAACGUGGGGGCAGUGAGCUCAGGAUAUGGUCCUGCCUCAAAAUUAUAUAGUUCAUCAUAGUCUGAACCACCACUGUCUCCACAUUUGACUUUAAAAAACAAGCUGUUGAAAAAAAUGCCAUUUGGAGGAUGUGCUCAGAGGAACAGUGUUCCCCAGUCUUCCCCUCUCUGGAGGUCUGGCCUCCCUGUCUCCUGCCAGUUCAUGCAACUGUGUGUGGACAGCCAGGGCUCCUGCCGUGUACAGAGUCCCAGAGCCCCUGAGGAUGGGACCCAAAGCCACCAACGCCAACCCAAGACCCUGUGCAGGCCACGACUCCCCUCUGGGCCUGUCUGCACUUGCACAGAACAUCUCAGCUCUGACUCCAGCAGGCUUUCUCACCGAAAAGAACCACAGGAACCCGUCUUUCCGUCCAAUUCCUUCAGGGAGGGGGAAGGAUCCAAGCCCCUUGGAUCUCUAAGGACAUUCAAACCCCAGCCCUUCCUGUUCUCCGGUGGCAGGGACUCAGGACCACAGCCAGGAGUGAGCCAACAGGACCGCAAUAGGCCAAAUGGUCAGGUAGCCCAUGAGAGGGUGAGAGGCCUGGCCCAGCACCUGGCACCAGGUGGGCCUAGAACUCCUCCCUUGCUUCUUCCCUCUGUAGCCUCUGCUUUCUCUUGUUUUCUCACCUACUUAGGGAGCGAGUGACAGCCCCACGGGAAGGCCAUCACGACGCCUCAGGAAGAGACAAUUAAACCGAUCUUGGAAAAGGCCUCAGAGUCACACUGAGUUUACUGCGUGACACUAGACUUUGAAUCUUCAACACCUGGGUCCUGGCAGGUGCAAAGGAGGACUGACCAUCCCCCCUCCACAGGAUGGCCCGCCUGAACAGGGUCUGAGGGUGGGGAGGAGAAUAGAGUCAGCAGUUAGCGGGUGGUGACACUGUCAGGACAGACUGUCCUGGGCUGCGUGAAGCAGCCUGGCGUUCC